GUAUCUCUGUAGAGUCUGCAUAUCAAUAAGCGGAGGAAAAGAAACUAACAAGGAUUCCCUUAGUAACGGCGAGUGAAGCGGGAAGAGCUCAAAUUUGAAAUCUUCAAGGUUCUACCUUGACGAAUUGUAGUUUAAAGAAGUGUUUUCUGUUAGAUGAGUAGCAAAAGUUCCUUGGAAUGGGACAUCAUAGAGGGUGAGAAUCCCGUAUUUGGUUAUUCAUUCUAGCUUUGUGAUACACUUUCAAAGAGUCGGAUUGUUUGGGAAUGCAGUCCAAAAUGGGUGGUAAAUUUCAUCUAAAGCUAAAUACUGGCGAGAGACCGAUAGCGAACAAGUACCGUGAGGGAAAGAUAAAAAGAACUUUGAAAAGAGAGUUAAACAGUACGUGAAAUUGUCAAGAGGGAAGCGUUUGACACCAGUGUUGUUUUCUCGAAAAUCAAUUAAAAAUGGCAGGAUUUUGUGUUGUAUUGACUUUAUCAGCUUGCUUCACUCUUUUCUUGCUUUUUUUAAUGCACUUUUCGUUUAACAAGUCAACAUCAGUUUCUUUUGUUGUAAAAGGGUCAUUGGAAGGUGGCUUUCUUUUCGGAGAAAGUGUUUAUAGCCUUUGGCUUCUGCAAUCGGAGAGAUUGAGGUCUGCAGCGUAGAUCCUUCGGGGUUAGAUACAUUUGUGCUAAGUUAUAGCCUUUCAUAGACAACUUGUUGACUAUGAUCAGUCAUGUAGCUUACUCGCUUAUGCUAUUUUACCUACGCUUAGGAUGUUGAAGACUCUACAGAGAUA
rnacentral:rRNA from 1 species